UCAUGAUCAUGAGUUUUGUAUUGGGCUGAGUGAAUAUUUGAAAAAGGAUCAGCCAAUAAUCAAAUAAAUGUAUUCUUUUGGAUGUUGUAGUAACAAACUUGCAAGGGAAUCAAAUUAAAUAUGGCACCACUGCUAAGAUCAUCAUUAUCAUCUAAAAGGAAAGAACCAUUUUUUAAAUCGGUUUGGCCUAUAAGAAAAAAAUCGAUGAACAAAAUGUCCCGAUAAAAAGGUCCAUAUGUCUACUCGUUAAGUGUGAUAUUACAUUACCUCAGACAAACAUCGCAGAUUUGUUUCUUCUGUGUAUAAUUGUA